UACGAAGGGGGCUAGCGUUGCUCGGAAUUACUGGGCGUAAAGCGCACGUAGGCGGUCUUUUAAGUCGGGGUGAAAUCCUGGAGCUCAACUCCAGAACUGCCUUCGAUACUGGAAGACUUGAGUCCGGGAGAGGUGAGUGGAACUGCGAGUGUAGAGGUGAAAUUCGUAGAUAUUCGCAAGAACACCAGUGGCGAAGGCGGCUCACUGGCCCGAUACUGACGCUGAGGUGCGAAAGCGUGGGGAGCAACAGG
rnacentral:rRNA from 1 species